UAACAUCAGAUCCUACAAAGUUACCGUUAACCCAUGUUUAGCCUUAUAAAGCUCAAAAUAUCCUAAUAUGAUGUUUUCAGAGGAGGUGGACCUUAGCCUACAUGGCAGCAGCAAGGUGUGCUUGAGUUGAACCAUCCAGAAAUACUGAUAUAGGUACUCUGAUUUUCCAAAAACGCAAGACGCACCAGGGUUCCAAGCAAGCUUCUACUCAUUUGAUUUAUGUACUCAAGGCUGAAAUGACAUCAAGGAUCUGUGUCCUGGUCCUGAAAAGUUUCAGAGGUGCAGGGCUAUAUGACUUCUUGUGAAUAACGAUGAAAAGGUGGAGACUGCUGCUGAACUAGAACAGCCAUCGACUGGAGGCAGCGGCCUUUCACAAGAAGAGCCCUUCACUUCUCAGUUUGUCACUGUGUCCAGUCCAGAAUACAUAAUCUUCAGACAGUGAACCUGAACAGACCUAGAUGAGUUGUAGAGAAUCAUUCAGCCAAACAAUGCCUGGUACAUGUCGGAGAUGAAGAACAGAUGGGACAACUUCUACUCAAAGAUCCAGUUUUAUGGUGUCAUGAAGAAAGCUAUGAAGCUUCCAAAAACUUUGGAUGGAGUGGAACAUGCCGCUGCUGUUUUCAGAGCCUUGCCACUGCUCUUCCCAUCCAGCACCACGCCACCUAAGAAGUUGGGCGCAAGCCCAACGCGACUGAAAUCAACGAGACUUUUGCCAACCCGGGGCUGAAGGCGUACCCCCCCCCCCUUACCGAAGUGGACGUCAGCAACGAGCCCCCAGCCAGAGAGCCUCCAAGAAAGAGUGGUGGUGUCAUUUCAAAUCUGUCCCUCUGCAAUAUUGUUCAAACCAGCAGCUGGAAUGUUACUAUUCUCUGGUAAUUUCUAAUGACUUUCAGUGUACUCCUACCCUCGCUUAUUAUCAAAGACCAGUAUAUCACAUCACCUGAAACUGGGCUUGAUUUAAAGUGUAUUAACACUGCAAAAGUCAGAAAUGCCUCCAGUAGUAAUAUUGACAAGAUCACAAUUACAACACAGUUAUAA